rnacentral:lncRNA from 1 species
GGGAAGCCAGCAGAUGAGAAGAACAAGUCCCUGAGAGGUGCUGUGAUAGAGAACAUGGUGUUGAGGCUUGUGACUAUGAGCGGACCCUGGUGAGGCAGAGCUGUGGUU